UACGUAGGGGGCAAGCGUUAUCCGGAAUCAUUGGGCGUAAAGAGUACGUAGGCGGCCAUAUAAGUCAGAAGUGAAAGGCUACGGCUUAACCGUAGUAAGCUUUUGAAACUGUAUGGCUUGAGUGCAGGAGAGGAAAGCGGAAUUCCUAGUGUAGCGGUGAAAUGCGUAGAUAUUAGGAAGAACACCAGUAGCGAAGGCGGCUUUCUGGACUGAAACUGACGCUGAGGUACGAAAGCGUGGGGAGCGAACAGG
rnacentral:rRNA from 1 species